rnacentral:pre_miRNA from 1 species
AGUUGAGGGGAAUGCUGUCUGGUUCGAGACCAUUCACUUGGAACAUAUUCAAACAGCUACUGAAUGAUCUCGGACCAGGCUUCAUUCCCCCCAACU